rnacentral:rRNA from 1 species
CCUCCUUUCUUCCGCCGUGCGGCCUCUUGGUCCCUGGUCGGGCGCCUGCCCCAGCCAAGCCGCGUGAGGGAGGAAGGUACAGAGUAUCGUAAACCUCUUUUGUCAGGGAACAAAGGCGGGGACGUGUCCCCGGAUGAGUGUACCUGAAGAAAAAGCAUCGGCUAACUCCGUGCCAGCAGCCGCGGUAAUACGGAGGAUGCGAGCGUUAUCCGGAUUUAUUGGGUUUAAAGGGUGCGCAGGCGGUCUGUUAAGUCAGCGGUCAAAGCCCGGGGCUCAACCCCGGCCCGCCGUUGAAACUGGCAGUCUCGAGUUGGAGAGAAGUAUGCGGAAUGCGUGGUGUAGCGGUGAAAUGCAUAGAUAUCACGCAGAACUCCGAUUGCGAAGGCAGCAUACCGGCGCGCAACUGACGCUCAUGCACGAAAGCGUGGGUAUCGAACAGGAUUAGAUACCCCUGUAGUC